CAGAAGAGAAGAAAUGCAGGUCCUCAUGGCCCUUCGUUUGAUGCCUGCCGAUACUGUAGAUUUUAUGAAGAAAGCGGUUUUUGGGUGAGAGGAAAACUCUAUCCUGUAACCUUCCUUUAUAAUGGAUGUGACCCACACGUCCUUAAUGUUUUUGGCCCACACGGGGUAGAAGAACUUCAGUCUUCCUCCCACAGUUCCCGAAUGGGCCUGAAGACCUUCCC